rnacentral:lncRNA from 1 species
GGGAAAGCAUCUUUUUUUUUAUGUAUCUGGUUCUUAUAGGUUUAUAUUUGAUAUGAUUAUUAAGAUAAUGUAGUAGUACACAAUUAAUAACACAAGUAAAAAUUUCUACUUCAAAUUGGAUGAUACUUACUACACACAGAAAAGAAUCGUACAGUUCCCUAUGAGAUUUCUACUGGCCAGUCCCAUGGUAGAAGUACUAGUCAGAGCAAUUGAAAAAAAAUUAUCAAUAAAUACAAAUCAAAGUCCUAGUAAACAUUAGCAAAUGAGUUUAGCAUGAUAAACAAUGAAGUUACAGAAGCAAGCAUAAAAAAGGUCCUAGUAAACAUUAGCAGAGAAAAAUCAAUAAAUUUUGCUUUUAUGACUUAUGCUCCAACUUAUAAUGUCAGAAUUCAAACCGAAUGUUGUUGUAAGUCAAAACUACCUAUACUUGUAUACCUGUAUUGUCUUGUUUCUGUACCUGUAAGUGACUAUCUG